UACAGAGGCCCCAAGCAUUAUCCGGAUUUACUGGGCGUAAAGGGUGCGUAGGCGGUUAUAUUAGUCGGAUGUUAAAUCCUGGGGCUCAACCCCAGGCUCGCAUUCGAAACGGUAUAACUAGAAGAAGUCAGAGGCAAGCAGAACUCACGGUGUAGGGGUGAAAUCCGUUGAUAUCGUGGGGAAUACCAAAUGCGAAGGCAGCUUGCUGGGACUCUCUUGACGCUGAGGCACGAAAGCGUGGGUAGCGAAUCGG
rnacentral:misc_RNA from 1 species